UGUGUGUGUGUGUGUGUGUGUGUGUGUGUGUGUGUGUGUGUGUGUGUGUGUGUGAUAUCAUUGUAACAUGAUAUUUUUCAGCAUUUAUGAAUAUUAACAUUAGGUUACAAUAUAUAUAAUAAAUACAGGGGAAAAAAACAUAACAUACAGGUACCGGUGGUGAUGUCACCGUAUGCAAUGGAAAAGGUUUUCACACAUACAGUACGUGCUGCUUUUGCACUGAAGAUGGUGAAAUGAUAAGACAUCACUUUCAAGAUAGCACCAGCAAUGGUAAAAAUAACCAACUCACUCAUGUAUAAGGUGAGAAUCCUCAACACAAUAACAGGAAGUUAGUUAUGAGCAAAAGCAAAAGUAGCAUGACAUUUAGGAGCCAGAGUGGGAAGUACAAAACUGGUGGCUUUUAUGAUAGACGUGCAUCCUAACCUUCAACUUUGUUUUGCAACCUUAGUAUCUUAUUGCUAGAUGUCAAGUUGUUUUGAUCAUUAAGAAGUAUAUUUCUAUUCUUGUUUAGAGUUAUAGGGUUUGGGCUAUUAUUAAUUACACGAAGAUUCAUUCUACAAAGUACACAGCCUUUCCAUAUUAAGGUGCUCAAUUCUCAAUAAUGUAAAAUGUUCAAAAGUAUUUUUCAAGUCUAUUUACUGUAUAUUUAACUAAAAGCAGCAUUUCCAAUUACUUUGAGCUUGUGUAUGACGUUUAUCUGCAGUUGUUGAAGUUGUAAAAUGAGAAAUUUGUCUUGUGUGUGGCAAAUGUAUGUUGACAUGUCAGCGGUCAGUGCUGUCUCCAUCAUGUUCAAACUUAUCUUAUUGUCACUUAGUGGAAAGAUGCUCUACACAGUUCAAAACACUGAAGCUUCUGAAGCCCCUCCUACUCUGAGACAAACCCGCCGAGGAAUAACACUCUGGUUACAAGCAACUCAGGGAAACGUGAAAGUGGAGACACUAGUGAAAAAUUAUAAAUCACAUCAGCAGUAAUGAUCCAGUUAGGUCAAUUACAGGUCACCAACAUCAGUUUUGAGUCACUGUGCAACUUUACCAAAAACAAUGUUGGAGUUUGUGCUGGUUUCCUCUCAAGGUGAAUCAGUAGAGACAUGUUUAGCCACAUAAUAUUUUUAAACACUUGGCUGUCUAGAAAGCUGACUGUCUAUUGGGCAAUUAUAAGGACAAACAGCAUCCACCCCACUUUGGGCGGAGCAGUUCUCCAGUCACAACCUGGCCAAAUGUAUUAAGUCCCCAAAAUGUGACUAUCGGGAGUUGAGACCAGGAAGCAGCGCUGCAGUCUUAUACUCUCUCUAGUUAUA
ensembl:lncRNA